UCGGGAUAGCUCAGCUGGUAGAGCAAAGGACUGAAAAUC
rnacentral:tRNA from 2 species